UACGAAGGGGGCUAGCGUUGCUCGGAAUUACUGGGCGUAAAGGGCGCGUAGGCGGCCCACUUAGUCAGGCGUGAAAGCCCUGGGCUCAACCUGGGGACGGCGCUUGAGACGGGUGAGCUUGAGGACGGAAGAGGCUCGCGGAAUUCCCAGUGUAGAGGUGAAAUUCGUAGAUAUUGGGAAGAACACCGGUGGCGAAGGCGGCGAGCUGGUCCGUAUCUGACGCUGAGGCGCGACAGCGUGGGGAGCAAACAGG
rnacentral:rRNA from 1 species